AUUGAACGCUGGCGGCAUGCCUUACGCAUGCAAGUCGAACGGCAGCACGGGAGCAAUCCUGGUGGCGAGUGGCGAACGGGUGAGUAAUAUAUCGGAACGUGCCCGGUCGUGGGGAUAACGUAGCGAAAGCUACGCUAAUACCGCAUACGAUCUACGGAUGAAAGCGGGGGAUCGCAAGACCUCGCGCGAUUGGAGCGGCCGAUAUCAGAUUAGGUAGUUGGUGAGGUAAAGGCUCACCAAGCCGACGAUCUGUAGCUGGUCUGAGAGGACGACCAGCCACACUGGGACUGAGACACGGCCCAGACUCCUACGGGAGGCAGCAGUGGGGAAUUUUGGACAAUGGGCGCAAGCCUGAUCCAGCAAUGCCGCGUGCAGGAUGAAGGCCUUCGGGUUGGUUAAACUGCUUUGUUACGGAACGAAACGGUAGGAGCGUCUAAUACAG
rnacentral:rRNA from 1 species